rnacentral:rRNA from 1 species
UACGUAGGGGGCAAGCGUUGUCCGGAAUCAUUGGGCGUAAAGAGCGUGUAGGCGGCCCGGUAAGUCCGCUGUGAAAGUCCAGGGCUCAACCCUGGGAUGCCGGUGGAUACUGUCGGGCUCGAGUCCGGAAGAGGAGUGUGGAAUUCCUGGUGUAGCGGUGAAAUGCGCAGAUAUCAAGAGGAACACCAAUGGCGAAGGCAGCACUCUGGGACGUGACUGACGCUGAGACGCGAAAGCGUGGGGAGCAAACAGG